AAAUAGAGUGUAGGCUGACUCUCUUUUCAGACUCAGCCCGCCUGCACCCAGGUGAAAUAAACAGCCAUGUUGCUCACACAAAGCCUGUUUGGUGGUCUCUUCACAGGGACGCACAUGAAAUUUGGUGCCGUGACUCGGAUCGGAGGACCUCCCUUAUGAGAUCAAUCCCCUGUACUCCUGUUCUUUGCUCCAUGAGAAAGAUCCACCUAUGACCUCAGGUCCUCAGACCGACCAGCCCAAGUAACAUCUCACCAAUUUUAAAUCAGGUAAGUGGCCUCUUCUUACUCUCUUCUCCAACCUCUCUCACUGUCCCUCAACCACUUUAUCCUUUCCACUCUUCAAUCUCUCCCUUCUCUUAAUUUCAAUUUCUUUCAUUUUCUGGGAGAGACAAAGGAGACACGUUUUAUCCGUGGACCCAAAACUCCGGCGCCGGUCACGGACUGGGAAGGCAGCCUUCCCUUCGUGUUUAAUCAUUGCAGGGACGCCUCUCUGAUUAUACACCCACGUUUCAAGGGUGUCAGACCACGCAGGGACGCCUGCCUUGGUCCUUCACCCUUAGCGGCAAGUCCCGCUUUUCUGGGGAAGGGGCAAGUACCUCAACCCCUUCUCUCCUUGUCUCUACCCCUUCUCUGCUUUCCUGGGGCAGGGGCAAGUACCCCUCAACCCCUUCUCCUUCACCCUUAGCGGCAAGUCCCGCUUUCCUAGGGGGCAAGAACCCCCCAAUCGCUUAUUUCCACACCCCAACUUCUUAUCUCUGUGCCCCAAUCCCUUAUUUCCAUGCCCCAACCCCUUCUCUGCUUUUCUGGAGGGCAAGAACCCCCAACCCCUUCUCCGUGUCUCUACUCUUUUGUCUGGGCUUGCCUCCUUCACUAUGGGCAAGCUUCCACCUUCCAUUCCUCCUUCUUCUCCCUUAGCCUAUAUUCUUAAGAACUUAAAACCUCUUCAACUCACACCUGACCUAAAACCUAAAUGCCUUAUUUUCUUCUGCAAUGCCGCUUGACCCCAAUACAAACUCGACAGUAGUUCCAAAUAGCCAGAAAAUGGCACUUUGAAUUUUUCCAUCCUGCAAGAUCUAAAUAAUUCUUGUCGUAAAAUAGGCAAAGGGUCUGAGGUGUCUGACAUCCAGGCAUUCUUUUACACAUCAGUCCCUUCCUAGUCUCUGUGCCCAGUGCAACUCGUCCCAAAUCUUCCUUCUUUCCCUCCCGCCUGUCCCCUCAGUACCAACCCCAAGCAUCGCUGAGUCUUUCUAAUCUUCCUUUUCUACAGACCCAUCUGACCUCUCCCUUCCUCCCCAGGCUGCUCCUCGCCAGGCCGAGCUAGGUCCCAGUUCUUCCUCAGCCUCUGCUCCUCCACCCUAUAAUCUCUUUUUCACCUCCCCUCCUCACACCUGGUCCGGCUUGCAGUUUUGUUCCAUGACUAGCCCUCCCCAACCUGUCCCAGCAAUUUACUCUUAAAAAGCCAAAGGCAUAGUCAAGGUUAAUGCUCCUUUUUCUUUAUCCCAAAUCAGAUAGCAUUUAGGCUUUUUCAUCAAAUAUAAAAAUCCAGCCCAGUUCAUGGCUCGUUUGGCAGCAAUCCUGAGAUGCUUUACAGCCCUAGACCCUAAAAGGUCAAAAGGCCGUCUUAUUCUCAAUAUACAUUUUAUUACCCAAUCUGCUCCCGACAUUAAACUCCAAAAAUUGGAAUCUGGCCCUCAAACCCCACAACAGGAUUUAAUUAACCUCACCUUCAAGGUGUACAAUAACAGAAAAAAUUGCAAUUCCUUGCCUCCACUGUGAGACAAACCCCAGCCACAUCUCCAGCACACAAGAACUUCCAAACGCCUGAACCGCAGCGGCCAGGAGUUCCUCCAGAACCUCCUCCCACAGGAGCUUGCUACACAUGCCGGAAAUCUGGCUACUGGGCCAAGGAAUGCCCGCAGCCCAGGAUUCCUCCUAAGCCACGUCCCAUCUGUGUGGGACCCCACUGAAAAUCGGACUGUUCAACUCACCUGGCAGCCAUUCCCAGAGCCCCUGGAACUCUGGCCCAAGGCUCUCUGACUGACUCCUUCCCAGAUCUUCUCGGCUUAGCGGCUAAAGACUGAUGCUGCCCGAUCGCCUCGGAAGCCCCGUAGACCAUCACGGAUGCCGAGCUUCCGGUAACUCUCACAGUGGAAGCUAUAGGUAUAUACAAAAGGAAAAUUAACCUGUGGGCCAUCAUCAUCUUUGCUACUCAAAGUAUGAUUGCUGUACCAGCAGCCUGGGCAUCACUCGUGAGCUUGUUAGAAAUGCAGACUCUCAGGCCCCACUCCAGCCCCACUGACUCAUCAUCUGCAUUUGAUCAAGACUCCCAGGUGUCUCAUAUGCACACUAAACUUUGAUAAUCACUAAACUAUACCACUGUUGUUAAAUCAGCCUGCUUGUUAAGACUGGGCAUUGUGCAAACGGAAAACAAGCAUUGGAGUCAGAAGAAUUCAAUUUCUGCCUCCUUCUUGCAGAGCACCUUGGGCAAAAACAACCAUAAAGACUUUUGCCCACAUUUUUUCCUCACUCCCUCUUCCAUCUAACCAACCCUGAUGCUUUUGUGUGGCCCUGUGUGGUGAGGCAUGCCUCCUUCUCUGGAAAACUAGACAGGACAACAGAAGCUUCCAGUCUGGGACUCUCCUAGACCUCACCUGCAGUGAUGCAUG
rnacentral:lncRNA from 1 species